CCUACGGGAGGCAGCAGUGAGGAAUAUUGGUCAAUGGACGAGAGUCUGAACCAGCCAAGUAGCGUGAAGGAUGACUGCCCUAUGGGUUGUAAACUUCUUUUAUAUGGGAAUAAAAUGUUCCACGUGUGGGAUUUUGUAUGUACCAUAUGAAUAAGGAUCGGCUAACUCCGUGCCAGCAGCCGCGGUAAUACGGAGGAUCCGAGCGUUAUCCGGAUUUAUUGGGUUUAAAGGGAGCGUAGGUUGAUUGUUAAGUCAGUUGUGAAAGGUUGCGGCUCAACCGUAAAAUUGCAGUUGAAACUGGCAGUCUUGAGUACAGUAGAGGUGGGCGGAAUACGUGGUGUAGCGGUGAAAUGCUUAGAUAUCACGAAGAACUCCGAUUGCGAAGGCAGCUCACUGGACUGCAACUGACACUGAGGCUCGGAAGUGUGGGUAUCAAACAGGAUUAGAUACCCGAGUAGUC
rnacentral:rRNA from 1 species